rnacentral:rRNA from 1 species
CUCAUAGCGUAUAUUAAGUUGUUGCAGUUAAAACGCUCGUAGUCGGAUUUCGGGGCGGGCUGCUCGGUCUGCCGAUGGGUAUGCACUGGGUGGCGCGUCCUUCCUUCCGGAGACCGCGCCUUCUCUUAACUGAGCGGGCGCGGGAGACGGAACGUUUACUUUGAAAAAAUCAGAGUGUUUCAAGCAGGCAUCUCGCUCUUGCAUGGAUUAGCAUGGGAUAAUGAAAUAGGACUUUGGUGCUAUUUUGUUGGUUUCGAACACCGAAGUAAUGAUUAACAGGGACAGUCAGGGGCACUCGUAUUCCGUCGAGAGAGGUGAAAUUCUCAGACCAACGGAAGACGAACCACUGCGAAAGCAUUUGCCAGGGAUGUUUUCACUGAUCAAGAACGAAAGUUAGGGGAUCGAAGACGAUCAGAUACCGUCGUAGUCUUAACCAUAAACCAUGCCGACUAGGGAUUCGAGGGUGUUCCAUCUGUGACCCCUUGAGCACCUUUCGGGAAACUAAAGUCUUUGGGUUCCGGGGGGAGUAUGGUCGCAAGGCUGAAACUUAAAGGAAUUGACGGAAGGGCACCACCAGGAGUGGAGCCUGCGGCUUAAUUUGACUCAACACGGGGAAACUUACCAGGUCCAGACAUUGUGAGGAUUGACAGAUUGAGAGCUCCUUCUUGAUUCAAUGGGUGGUGGUGCAUGGCCGUUCU